UCGCGGAGGGCCUGGCUUAGUGGAGGAAGUGUCGGGGCGGACACGGGCGUUGUCCUUGGCUGACGAGAGUAUUGGGGUGCUGGUCUCUCGCUCUGCUGGCGCCACUACUGUCUUCGGAAAGAUCAUCGGCGAGGUGUUUCCCUGGUAUCGUCAGCGACGAGGACGAGGAGUGCCGUGCGUUCCGUGGUCUUUCACUGCAAUCUGGGACACUUUUCCUAGUCAUGCCUAAGGAGCCAAUUAUUGGGUUGUCUGAAGCUGAAGGUUCUGGUGAAUCUGAAGUAAAGUAGCAGGACUGACAUGAACCGACAAUGAGUGAAUUUUGCAAAGAGCAAGGAGAGUGCAACGAUAGCCCAGGCAGGGCCGGUGUUGGGGCCCAACGAUCAAGUGUGCUUCUUCUCCUGUCCUGAGCACCCAUCUUGAUGGAAUGGACUCCAAGUCACAGCCUCUUUUUGAACAUCUGGAGGGGCAGAGGAAGCCCAUGAAAUGGGAAAAUAAUAUCUAUGAAAGGAUGGGAGACAGUAGUCAAUGAAAAUGUAUGCAUCUUUGUGUUGGGUAGAAAGAUGGUUUAAGGAUGUAGUUUUAAGUUGUAAGCAUUGGUAAGAAGGGAUUUCAGUAAUGAGAAAUAAAUAUAAAUGGAAUCGUUAGAAGAUAUAUAUUUGUAUAUAUAUAUAUGUAAAUAUAUAUAUAAAACUCUGUGGGAUUUGAGUAUGACGCAAAUUGUAUGGAGGAAGGGGUGGAGAUUGUAUUGGGUGUAGCUUAGAUGGAGUUCAUUUUCCCCAUAGCAGCCCUCGCUGUUCCAUCCUUUGCAUUGGUAGCUUGAAAGGUGUUGGUAACACCCCAGUGUUUUGGUCACUGCUGAGCAGUGUUGGCACAGCAUCAGUGCUGUCUCUCCAGCAUUCUGCCCCCCAUCAGUAGGCUGGGGGUGGGUGUGGCAGGGCAUCCUCCUCUCUCUCUCUCUCUCUCUCUCUCAUGGCUGGGGCAUCUGGAAGACAUAGGCCAGAUCAGUAGCCCAGCAAGGGGUCACCUCUAGGCGUCCGAGUGUCUGAGCCCCAGCCCAGAGUACACAUCUUGAUAUGAGAGCAGACGUGGGAAGAGAUGAAAGAAAAACAUCGGUGACCAAAAGACACGGUUAUUAUGUCUAUAAAAGCACACACGAAUUAUCAUGGAGGCAGAAGCCUCCUACACACAUGCACCCUGAAAACAUGCGGGACUUCUUCCAGAGUUUGGAUGCAGAUUCUGCAGUUACUUUCAUGGGAAUUGAGGGACAGGAUUUUGAUGUGUGCUCCAUCACAAAUUGGAUGGUAAGAAACAUUGGAUCCUAAGUUAUAUUAUUUCUUUGCUAGCUGUAAAAUUAUUGGUACAUUUAACCUCAUGCUGUAUUUACUAGAAGUCUCUUUUUGUUUUAUUCCUGUGUAGUAAGUAGUCUGUUUAAAGUCUU